AUGGCCAUCCGGCAUCUGCUCCUCAUCGUCUUCCUGGCUUCUGUCCUCCAAGCAGCCACCUCCGACACAGCGUACGACCUUUUGGAGAAAAACAACUUCCCGCGGGCUCUCCUGCCUCAGGGUGUGAAGUCGUACGUGAACCAUGGGGGCGCCGUUGAGGUGACACUCCCCGCCUCCUGCGACUUCAAUGUUACGGUUGCCGGUGGAUCACACAAGAUUCGGUUUGACAGCAUAGUCAGUGGUGUUAUCCGGCCCGGAUCCAUAACUCAACUGGGUGGCGUGAGGAUCCAAUUUGAGUGGGAUUUUCUCGCAUUCCACACGGUUCAACGCGUCGGUGACAAGCUGAGGUUUACUGGUAGUGAGCAUGCAGCCACGUUCGACCAGUCAUUUCCGGUUAGCAACUUCGUGCAGAGCCCCAGGUGCAGCUAA
rnacentral:rRNA from 1 species